AUUGAACGCUGGCGGCAGGCUUAACACAUGCAAGUCGAGCGGGGUGAUGGUGCUUGCACUAUCACUUAGCGGCGGACGGGUGAGUAAUGCUUAGGAAUCUGCCUAUUAGUGGGGGACAACAUCUCGAAAGGGAUGCUAAUACCGCAUACGCCCUACGGGAGAAAGCAGGGGAUCACUUGUGACCUUGCGCUAAUAGAUGAGCCUAAGUCGGAUUAGCUAGUUGGUGGGGUAAAGGCCUACCAAGGCGACGAUCUGUAGCGGGUCUGAGAGGAUGAUCCGCCACACUGGGACUGAGACACGGCCCAGACUCCUACGGGAGGCAGCAGUGGGGAAUAUUGGACAAUGGGGGGAACCCUGAUCCAGCCAUGCCGCGUGUGUGAAGAGGGCCUUAUGGUUGUAAAGCACUUUAAGCGAGGAGGAGGCUCUUUUGGUUAAUACCCAAGAUGAGUGGACGUUACUCGCAGAAUAAGUACCGGCUAACUCUGUGCCAGCCGCCGCGGUAA
rnacentral:rRNA from 1 species